CCUACGGGGGGCAGCAGUGGGGAAUAUUGGACAAUGGGGGGAACCCUGAUCCAGCCAUUCCGCGUGUGUGAAGAAGGCCCUCGGGUUGUAAAGCACUUUCAGUGAGGAAGAACGCCUGGUGGUUAAUACCCAUCAGGAAAGACAUCACUCACAGAAGAAGCACCGGCUAACUCCGUGCCAGCAGCCGCGUUAAUACGGAGGGUGCGAGCGUUAAUCGGAAUUACUGGGCGUAAAGCGCGCGUAGGUGGCUUGAUAAGCCGGUUGUGAAAGCCCCGGGCUCAACCUGGGAACGGCAUCCGGAACUGUCAAGCUAGAGUGCAGGAGAGGAAGGUAGAAUUCCCGGUGUAGCGGUGAAAUGCGUAGAGAUCGGGAGGAAUACCAGUGGCGAAGGCGGCCUUCUGGACUGACACUGACACUGAGGUGCGAAAGCGUGGGUAGCAAACAGGAUUAGAUACCCCAGUAGUC
rnacentral:rRNA from 1 species